UACUACUGAUUUCCAAUCAUUAAGUUCUGGGCAGUACCAGAGAAAAACA
rnacentral:tRNA from 1 species